GAUGAACGCUGGCGGCGUGCCUAAUACAUGCAAGUCGAGCGAACAGAUGAGGAGCUUGCUCCUCUGACGUUAGCGGCGGACGGGUGAGUAACACGUGGAUAACCUACCUAUAAGACUGGGAUAACUUAGGGAAACCGGAGCUAAUACCGGAUAAUAUAUUGAACCGCAUGGUUCAAUAGUGAAAGACGGUUUUGCUGUCACUUAUAGAUGGAUCCGCGCCGCAUUAGCUAGUUGGUAAGGUAACGGCUUACCAAGGCGACGAUGCGUAGCCGACCUGAGAGGGUGAUCGGCCACACUGGAACUGAGACACGGUCCAGACUCCUACGGGAGGCAGCAGUAGGGAAUCUUCCGCAAUGGGCGAAAGCCUGACGGAGCAACGCCGCGUGAGUGAUGAAGGUCUUCGGAUCGUAAAACUCUGUUAUUAGGGAAGAACAAAUGUGUAAGUAACUAUGCACGUCUUGACGGUACCUAAUCAGAAAGCCACGGCUAACUACGUG
rnacentral:rRNA from 1 species